GGUGAUCACCAGCACUUCUUGGAACAGGAAAACAUGGAGUUUCUAGAAGAAAAGAGCCCACAGGAUUGUCCUGAGCAACCAUCUAAGUGAUAAGGUCUCACUCUGGAGCGUCUAAUCUGGAAUUAAAGCAAACAGAUGUGCCAUGGUCAGAAGAUAUCAUUUUGCUGCCGGUUAACCCAUCAUCUGACUCUUCGAUCCUUUCUUUUCCUUAUAUGAUGUUCACUGACCGUCGAGUAGGUGAAAUAGACUGGAAUCUCUGGAAACAAGGAUGCUCUUCAAGCUUCCAGUCCCCAUUUUAGGCCUGGAGGGUCCAGACAGCAACUGACUGGCAUGGUCACACUUCCUCUGGAUAUGUACAGGACACAACUGCUAAAGCCUUUCCCAGACCAAACUAACCCCAUAACACUAGAGACAAAAGUAUAUUUCAGGAAAAAAAGUGAGGCUAAAUCUUCAAGCUUGAGGCUGAAACACUGUCACAAUCUGCACACAUUGCUUAAAGAGGCACCACCAUUCUACAUUACUGUGUCAUAAAAAACAGAGCAGGAGCCCUGCUAACUCUGAAGGAAGUCCACAGUCUGAGGAAGUUUAAAAACACAUUGAACCACUUCUGACUCCAGUUGACCCACUCUCUUUAGAGGAAGGUCUUUGUGGGUUGAAGAAGUUUAGAGCAAUACCAUGACUUAGAACGCAAAGUCAAAAGUUCGUGAUGAAUGAUCUCUCCUGAAAUAUUAAAGCGUGUUUCAUCUAAAUUAUUCAGCUGAGAACAUUACUUGUCCCGCAGAUAUUCUUGAGAUAUUUCCGCCUUGGUACUAAAAUUGACUUCUGAACUAAAGCCAAGUCAUAGAACCCUUCGAAGGUUCCAGAUCUUGGCAGUAACUGAGAGGCAUCAGGUCAGACACCAAUGUUAAGAAUUUUGGGCACAUUCAUGUAAUGUCAGUGAGAACCAGAAGGUUUUAGGAAGGUGAGGAACAAGUUUACCUGGAAAGAGAAUACCAGUAUAUUAAUAAUACCUAAAACCCCUCUCUAUCAGUACACUCCCUGCCCAUUGUCCUGGAAUACUAGCCCCAUCAGAGGGAUGGAGAGACCUAAUUCUGCCUAGAAGAAGUCAUUAAAGUUGUCUGCUUUCAUUACCUGCUUCAUAACAAAUAAAAAUAUCUAGAAUUGUGUAGGGCUGUGAAAGGCAGCCUGAUUCCUGGUUGACUAAGGCUAGAAACACUGGUAACCCUAAAGGGGUGGUAGAUAUUUCCCUGUUCCCAGAGAAUCAGGCUCCUGGCACAAGGCGGCAGGCCUCCACAGAUUUGUGACCAUCAGUCACAUAAGGGCAAAGCCCCAAACCCCUCUACAGGUCACAUAGCCUCAAGACAGAUCUCCAUUUUAAUGAGGUACUUAGAGGCUUAGCCAAUAAACUCUCCUUCCUAGACACU